rnacentral:rRNA from 1 species
UACAGAGGGUGCGAGCGUUAAUCGGAAUUACUGGGCGUAAAGCGUGCGUAGACGGUUACGUAAGUCGGAUGUGAAAUCUCCGGGCUCAACCUGGGAAUUGCAUUCGAGACUGUGUAGCUAGGGUGCGGAAGAGGGAAGCGGAAUUUCCGGUGUAGCGGUGAAAUGCGUAGAUAUCGGAAGGAACAUCAGUGGCGAAAGCGGCUUCCUGGUCCAGCACCGACGUUCAGGCACGAAAGCGUGGGGAGCAAACAGG